rnacentral:rRNA from 1 species
UGCGUAGGCGUCCAGGAAAGUUAUUUGUUAAAUCCUUCGGCUUAACCGAAGAGCUGCAAGUAAAACUAUCUGGAUAGAAUUCAAGAGAGGAAAAUGGAAUUCCUGGUGUAGCGGUGACAUGCGUAGAUAUCAGGAGGAACACCAAUGGCGAAGGCAGUUUUCUGGCUUAAAAUUGACGCUGAGGCACGAAAGCGUGGGGAGCAAACAG